CGCCGCCCCCGGGCCGUCGCGGAGACCGCUCCCGCGCCGGGCACCUGCGGACGCCCUUGUCAAGCGCCCGGAGCUCCCCCGGGGGAGCCGAACCCAGGACAGACAUGCUACUCCCGUUUUCUGCCCCUUCGGAGCGGCGAGGAGUGGGUGAGGUGGGCCGGGCCGCUGCGCCGAGGAGCCCCCCGAGCCAAGGGCGACGGGCCCAGUGGCGGGGGCGCCGAGGCCUGCCUGGGGAUGGCGGGCAGGCCGGCCUUGGCCCACCGGCCGGCGCGCGAGGGGAGGGCGGCCGACGGGAAUGCCCUGGCUCCCUGCGCACCCUCUCCCUGGGCAGGCCCGAGCGGGACACCGGGGUCGGGCCGACCGGGCCCGGCGGCCUGACCCCGGGGAACCCCGCUUCGAGGCGGGCAACGGCUGCCUAGCCCAGUUCGCCCGGCCCUCAGGAUGUUGGGACUGUGACGGGCCGCCUAGGGCAGAGGGCGGCCGAAGGGGGAAGGGGAGCUGCUCCCCACUGCUCUGGGGGUGCUGUGCUUGGCGGGGGGUCG
rnacentral:lncRNA from 1 species